rnacentral:rRNA from 1 species
GACGAACGCUGGCGGCGUGCCUAAUACAUGCAAGUCGAGCGGACAGAUAAGGAGCUUGCUCCUUUGAAGUCAGCGGCGGACGGGUGAGUAACACGUGGGCAACCUGCCUAUAAGACUGGGAUAACUCCGGGAAACCGGGGCUAAUACCGGAUAGAUUCUUUCCUCUCAUGAGGAAAGAAGGAAAGAUGGUUUCGGCUAUCACUUAUAGAUGGGCCCGCGGCGCAUUAGCUAGUUGGUAAGGUGACGGCUUACCAAGGCGACGAUGCGUAGCCGACCUGAGAGGGUGAUCGGCCACACUGGGACUGAGACACGGCCCAGACUCCUACGGGAGGCAGCAGUAGGGAAUCUUUCGCAAUGGACGAAAGUCUGACGGAGCAACGCCGCGUGAACGAAGAAGGCCUUCGGGUCGUAAAGUUCUGUUGUUAGGGAAGAACAAGUACGAUAGUAACUGAUCGUACCUUGACGGUACCUAACCAGAAAGCCACGGCUAACUACGUGCCAGCAGCCGCGGUAACAC